rnacentral:rRNA from 1 species
CUCAAGAUGAGAUUUCCCAUAGCGCAAGCUAGUAAGAACCCUGAAAGAUGAUCAGGUUGAUAGGUCAGAGGUGGAAGCGUGGCGACAUGUGGAGCUGACUGAUACUAAUCGUUCGAGGACUUAACCAU